AAGAAUUAAGGAGGAAGUGAUUGACUGAAUUUCUGUUUGGCAGGGAGGAAAUGGGUACCAAAGAGGGAUUUGCAAUUUUCAAAAUCUGUGCAAGCUUAGCUUCCUUAUAGGAGAAAUCCAAUGUCAAUCCCAUUACAGGACACGUAGUAGGUGCCAGGUACUUGACUGAGUCAUUGUGCCAUGUGAUAUUUCUGGAAGAGCAAUUUACAUCAAAAUAGUCUCCCCAUCCUGGCUUAGUGGCAUAUUCUCCAGGAUUUUGUUUGUAUUGCCACUGUCUUCUUUUCUGAGAAACUAUCCUUGUGUUGGGUGUAUGUAUCACAUGAUAGAGUCUUUAGUGUAUCUCCGUGGAUUCAUUGUUUACAUGUGUUCCUUCCAGAGGCAGAGGGAAGGGAGAAGGAGGUGGUCAGUCCUGAAUAAUAAUGAAGCUGUGCAGAGCCCUAGAUGUCUGAGGACAGGUGAGAAAGAAGUAACAAGGUGAAAAGGAGGAUUACAAAAAGUAGAAAUGGGAUGGUGCCAAGCUUUACUUAUGCUAGAAUCACAUUAAUGACAUACUGAAUUUCUUCAAUUUUGAAUGUCUAGGGCCCCAAAGAGGUAGGUAAAUAUGGAUGGGGUGGAUCAGAGAGUAGAGAUGAGUAGAAGUAGUUCUGAGAUGGUCUGGAGAAUACACAGGAAAGAGAAAGACGAAUGUGCAGUUAUGAAGGCCAAGAAAAGCAGAGAAGCAUGUUUAUUUCCGAGGGUGAUGCAUUUACACCCCUGCUGGGCCAGGAGCCAGGCGAUGCCAUGUUGACUUCCAUUUACCUCAAAGGAGCUUUCAUUUGCAUCUCUGCAAUGACAGCCACAGAUGACAGAACUCAAGCCCUGGGGUGGGGCGGGCAAUGAGAAGAGUCAUUCAUGUCAUGCCAGGAGCAUGAUGUGAUGCCAAGCAGGGGGAUUCAAAUACAAGAGUGAGGCAGGAAGCUGCAGCCAGAAUGUUUUCAAGAGAAGGAAACAAGAGACAUUCAUGGGAAUGAUUCUCAUUGAAUUCUGCUUUGAGAUGCAAUGUUCAAGCUCCGGAGUAGUAGCAGAAGUGGAUGCUAUGGUGUUGGAAGUGUUUGCAUUCAACGAACCACCAGGUUGCCUGUUUAAUGACAAGAACAACAAUUAAUCACACUCUUAAACAUUUCCAUUUCACCCCACCUUUGAAAAGUCUUAACAUCUACUCAUAUUCCUGCCUGCUCUCUGUUCAUCACAAAAUGUUUCACUUGGGGAUGGAAAAACAGCCAAAGAUCUUCUUCCUAAGUUGACUUCCUUAGUUUAGAAGUUGUCAGGUUUUCAUAUAACUAGCUAAACCUAAAGGAAUAGGAAAAAGAAGUGAUUCAUAAAAUGACAUUAACUGUCGGAAAUUCUGACCAAUCCAUUCUGAUGUGCUACAGAUUCACAUUUCUUUGAUUAUAUUAUGACUAACUACUUAUGUUUUUUGCAUUAGAAGCAUUAUUGCUUAGGAAAACAUUUUAAAUCAUACAAUCUUAAGUCUCCAUCUAGCAUUUAUUCAUAUAUGCAGAUGCUCAAAAAAUGGAAGUGACCCAGGCCCAUUUCAAGCUCUGAGAGGUAUGAUCCAGUGUAUAAAUUACUUUAUACAUAAAUAGGAAUUCAAAAACAAAAUAAGUUUAUAAAUCUGUCUGAUUUGGGCUGCUUAUAACCACCAGUAGUACACUCCAGAGAAAAUGUAUUUCAUUUAAACCGAUUUUUAGCUCACCCUAUGAUUUCCCAAUUCAAUUUUCUCUGAAGGAGGAGGUGUAAAUGUGAAGGGUAGGUGGGGAAGGAAGUGAGGUGUGAAGGAAGGGCUAAUUAUUGUGGGAGUAGGGGGAAGAAAAUUCCUGUGGGGGAAAAUAUAAGGAGUCUAGAUUUUAAUAAAGAAGAAGAAAGAAAGGAUGACCUAACCUUUGGUGUUUGGUUAGAGUAAUGAUUGGCAAACCUUUUUUCUGCAAAAGUCCAGGGAGUCACAAUGGAACCUUUGCAGACCAUUUUGGCAUCUGUCUUCUACUACUCAACUCUGCCAGGACAAUAGGGGCAUGGCUGUGUUCCAGUAAAAUUGGCCUACGGGUGGUAUACCCUGGUUUUUCUUGAACACAUACAAAGAAAUAUACUACAAUUAGAAAGAAUACAUACAACUUUGUUACUCCCGAUGAUCUAAACGUGGACAUGCUCCUGGUAAGAGAGAAAGAAAGCGAAGUUUUAACAAUGAAGAAUGAAUAUUUGCAUCUACUUGGAAUUAUUCUUGAAUAUAGAGUUAUUAAAAGUUAGACAUUGGUUGAGACAAAUAGAAAGCAUCAUAUUUGAAUAAAUUUAAUGAGAUGAUUUCAUGAUUUUGUUUCUUG